AGAGUUUGAUCCUGGCUCAGGAUGAACGCUAGCGACAGGCUUAACACAUGCAAGUCGAGGGGCAGCACGGUGUAGCAAUACACUGGUGGCGACCGGCGCACGGGUGAGUAACACGUGUGCAACCAACCCCGUACCGGGAGAUAACCCGCGGAAACGUGGACUAACAUCCCAUGAUACUCGAGAGCCGCAUGGCUCUAGAUUUAAAAUUCCGGUGGUACGGGACGGGCACGCGCGACAUUAGGUAGUUGGCGGGGUAAGGGCCCACCAAGCCGACGAUGUCUAGGGGUUCUGAGAGGAAGGUCCCCCACACUGGAACUGAGACACGGUCCAGACUCCUACGGGAGGCAGCAGUGAGGAAUAUUGGUCAAUGGGCGAGAGCCUGAACCAGCCAAGUCGCGUGAGGGACGAAUGGUCUAUGGCCUGUAAACCUCUUUUGUCAAGGAAGAAUAAAUCGCACGGGUGCGAUCUUGCCAGUACUUGACGAAUAAGCAUCGGCUAACUCCGUGCCAGCAGCCGCGGUAAUACGGGGGAUGCGAGCGUUAUCCGGAUUUAUUGGGUUUAAAGGGCGCGUAGGCGGGACGUCAAGUCAGCGGUAAAAGACUGCAGCUAAACUGUAGCACGCCGUUGAAACUGGCGCCCUCGAGACGAGACGAGGGAGGCGGAACAAGUGAAGUAGCGGUGAAAUGCAUAGAUAUCACUUGGAACCCCGAUAGCGAAGGCAGCUUCCCAGGCUCGAUCUGACGCUGAUGCGCGAGAGCGUGGGUAGCGAACAGGAUUAGAUACCCUGGUAGUCCACGCCGUAAACGAUGCUCACUGGAUCUUGGCGAUACACGGCCAGGGUUCAAGCGAAAGUAUUAAGUGAGCCACCUGGGGAGUACGUCGGCAACGAUGAAACUCAAAGGAAUUGACGGGGGCCCGCACAAGCGGAGGAACAUGUGGUUUAAUUCGAUGAUACGCGAGGA
rnacentral:rRNA from 1 species